ensembl:lncRNA
CAGGAUUCAAAUCAUGAAUGGACUUGGAUUUACAUCAUUUUGAAUGAAAUGUGCUCUAUCUGGAAGCAGCCGGCCCCUCCCCUGUCGACAGGUUGUGUGAGAUCAUCAAACUGUAAAUUAUAAAUUUUAAAUUGUUAUUGAUCCUUUAUCCCGAGUCCUAAAGUGUGUAUUUAUUUUCUUACUCUUCUUAUAUUUAUUGUUUGUUUACUUGCACUGCUGUAACUGGAGCCUCGUCGUCUCGUCUCUAUAUACUGGACUGUAUGUAGCGGAGAUGACAAUAAACUUUACUUUGACUUCAGCAGCGAGCAGGCGCACCGAGGGCUCUCGCGCUCACUUUUCGCAUAUAGAACUUCAAAAAAACAUCGAUGCAAAUUAUAAGUCUGUAUCAUGAUGUCUGGUGUUUUCCUGUUUGUUGUUUUGUUUCAUUUUGUUUUAUUUUGCGGGUUGGUUAUUAGAUGCUGCUCCAGCCAGUCAGAGAAUCCCCCGCCGCCCCGCCCUCUCCUCCCUGUGCAGCAAGCAGCAGACGCACCUCGCAAACGGAGGGCGCCCUUACUCCCAGCAAAUGGGCGAUAGAAAACCUAUCUGCCUAUGACAUUCCCAAUAUGCGCUGGCUGAUGUCGGGGCAGCAUGAAUACGAGCAAUUUUAUUUAUUUAUUUUUUUUUUUUGCCGAUGCCCGUGAAUCCGCCCCCCACCACAAUGCCACCCCGGACAACCGCCCGUGUCGCUACUGAGUCUCCAUCUUGACUCUGACUAUAGCGAUGCUGUGAACUGUCAGUUUCCUUGCUUUGCAAACAUUUACUGCAAGUUACACAUUUUUCAAUGAUAAAUCAUUUGUCACACAGACUGGAAAAUGUUUGUCACAGUCGAAUCUUGGAGAUUAUGUGAAUAUAUGAGGCUGAAAUUCCUUUUAAUCCAUUUAGUUAAGUGUUAAAUCUGAAAGUAACAUUUUAAAUGCAGUGACAGUGUGUAUUCUUACUAUAUUUCAUGUUGAAAUGUGUUCACAGAUUGAGCUUUAAUCAUUUACUGUCUGAAAUUCAGAGUCUAAGCUUUAACAUAUUUUCCACUGAAAAUCACCUAAAUCAGUCCCAGUUGGUCUGGCUCCGUAACAGACCAGCAAAUGUGUCCGACUCUGUGAUCCAAAUCGGAUCACAGAGUCAGACCAGAUCAGGCCCAGAUCUGGUUUUGCUUUUAUUUCUGAGCUCAUCACGCCUGGAUCUGUUCAUAGUGGCUUAUUUUACAUUUUACAAAAGCUGAGAUAUUUGUAAUAAAUUUCCAUUUGGUGAUACAACCUUAUAUUCGUUAAAUACUUUAUUUUAGUAAAUGUGAAACAGUGACUGUCAGGGAACCAUCAUUUAU